ACACAAUUGGGAGAGGAGAAAUGGUGGAUCUGUUUAUUUUGUUGAUUAGUCCAGCCAUAUCCUGUUUGAGUUAUUUGUUUAAUUAAGGUACUUGAAAUUCAUAUUGAAGCAAAGUACAGAUUAUUUACCAGUAGUAAAUGGGAGUGAUACUAUCUAUAUAUACAAUUCAGGCUUGUACUUACAGGAGCUCUAAAUGCUGGAUGAUGAGCAGCCAUUUCAAACAUACAGCAG
rnacentral:misc_RNA from 1 species